ensembl:lncRNA DBH-AS1 DBH antisense RNA 1
GGAGUGCAGACCCAUCACCCCUCACUGGGGCCCCCCAUGAGGCCUGCCUGACUGCAUGCCCCACCCGGGCCCAUGGCAGCGCACCUGGAAGCGGACGGCUGAGGACUUGUUGCAGUGCAUGGAGAUGGGCGCGAAGCUGUACAGGGCCUUCAGUACGUCGCGGUUGAAGGAGUUCCAGGGAACAGAGGAUCCCGAAGCCCCCCUGCAAGUUGGAGGAGACCCGUCAGCCCCGGGCCAUGCCACGCAGACGCUGCCAUCCAGCAGCUUUCGCCGCACCCACGUGUACACUGCGUCCACUCGUCUGUUCACUGCACCGUGCCAGGCAUGCUCUGGGGAACCGAGUCCCUGCCCUCAAGGAAUUGCCACCAUUGGCAGGAGAGACAGGCAGUGAGUGAGUGAGUCAACCAGGAAAUUCGUAUCAGGUACUGAUGAUGCUGUGAGGAAAAAUGAAACGGGACAAGCGGAUGGGGUGUUAUUGUGCCCAUUUUAUGGGUACAGAAACUGAGUCUCAGAGCAGGCAAGGGGAUGCCCCGUGGUGGCCACAGCAUCGGUGGCACAGCCUGAGUGCACCCAGCGUCCCGGCCAUUGUCUGGAAGCUGUCCCCAUGACCUCCAGCGAGAGCCUGGAGCCAAGGACUGCAAGGGAGGCCCUUUCCACUGCAGCCCCGCACCGUCCACCAGUCAUUUCUCCAACGUGGCUCUGAGGGGAGCAGGGACUCUAUAAGACAGGACCGUGACUAGAGGCCGCGACAACCUCCAGCCUCUCACGGCAACCCUACGGCCUGCCAUCGCAUGGGAGGGGCAGGGCAGGCACCCUCUGAGUCCCCACUGCCAGCUUUAAGCCCCUCGCUGGGUUGCUGCUCUUGGAGCUGGUGACCGUGGAGCCUCAGCCAUAGGAGGAAGAACAGCAGCAGCUUGGAGGAGCUGGGGCUGGAGAGAGCAAAGCUCCCCCGGCAGCAGCUCAGAUCCCAGCAGGUCAGGGGCCGGGACAUGACGCCCUGGCCACCCUUGCCCCUCCAGGCUCCCCGCUGUUUGUGAAGCUGCUGUGGGCCUGGGGAUUUCAUCUGGCUGGUGGGGAAGAAAGGCAAUCUUUACUCUAUGGCAGAACAAAGGGACUGGGCAAAGCUUGGCGUGGCACUUACACCAGCUGCCGCCCCCUCCUCCCGUGCAGACAAAGAGCAUGGGACAGUUCUGCCCAGAGACGAAACCUGGCACCUGUUGGCCAGGACGCGUUUUUGCCAGCAUUGUUCUCUGGGCCGGAUUCCUCCUUUCCCAGCUUUUCUCAUCCAUCCCGCCCCCGUCAGAUCGGGACGAUUGCCCUCCUGUGUGAGUUCCUGUCCCUCCCCACCCUCUGCCACCACAGACAUCAAAAGGGAACUGAGUCCGACCCUGUGUAGAAUCUGUUCUCCUCUUUCACCUGGGGAAGGAAAUCGAAUUUCAAAGGCCACUGUGUCUUGGAUCAGCAGGCGAGGGCUUGUCAGAGUGUGAGAAGCUCAGGUCCACCUGGGGAGCUGCCCUCCCCUUUGAUCCCACCUGGUGCUGUGAUGUGGCCACUGCCAAGAGGACGACAUGGGCCAGGGAAGCCACAGAACUGCCCACGGGGACGCUGGCACCGAGGGCCUCAACCUGCAGAACGGCCAUCUGAGAUGUCCGCGGUGCUCACCAGGCCUGGCAGCCCCGAACGCCCUGGGACGUGGCGUCAGUUCCGCCGCCGUGAAGCCAGAUUGGGCAGGGAAUAUGCAGUCUCCUCGCUGGAUGCCCGGCAAGACCCUCCCAUCCCUGGCCCCGGGGCCGCGCCUGCAGAAUGGGGCUGAUGGUGGGGACUUGCCUGGGGUGCUCCACCUGCAGAGCCCUCUGUUUGCGAGCCCACUCAGUCACUGCACAGGUGCUUAGCCGAGAGGCGGCACAGUCGGGGUUGGCACCUGCACCCAUACCAGCCCUGCCUCCUGUUCGCUGUGUGGCCUGAGUGGCUGGACCUCACUGUAUCUCCUGGUGGGAUUGCUCAGAGGUCUCAGCAAGGCUUGGUGUGGUUAGGAUGAGUUAUUAGAGCAGUGCUGAGCUGUGGCAAGCACCCGACAUCAGCCACUGCUGUGAUAUACUGAGCACCUCCUCUAGAGAGAAUAAAGGACUGACAAAGCUG